rnacentral:misc_RNA from 1 species
UCUCCGUAGGUGAACCUGCGGAGGGAUCAUUAAUGAAAAUGGCCUUUGGGCCGUUAGCCCUCAAACCCGUGGAAGCAAGAUGUGCUUCGGCGCCCGGCCCCCUCAGGGGGCGGCCGCCGCAUUUAUGCUGUUUAGUGGUUGUGUCUGAAUUGGAAACUAAAUCAAAAACUUUCAACAACGGAUCUCUUGGCUCUU